CUGAAACAUUUUUAUUGCUAAAUAAUAGAUGGAUAUAUUUUGGGAUACAUGUGAAAUUUUGAUAUGUUCAUAUAACAUAUAAUAAAUCAGGGUAAUUGGAAUGUUCAUCACUAUAAACAUUUAUCUUAUAUGCUGGGAACAUUUGAAUUAUUCUCUACUAGCUGUUUUGAAAUACACAGUAGAUGAAUUUUAUUAGCAUAUUAUGAACUGCUAACUUUUCUUUCCUUAUCCUUGGAUACUGUUCUAGAAUUUUCUGAAAAAAUUGGAACAAUCUUUUAUGUGCGUUUGCUGUCAGGAGCUAGUUUACCAGCCUGUGACAACUGAGUGCUUCCACAAUGUCUGUAAAGAUUGCCUACAGCGCUCUUUUAAGGCACAGGUUUUCUCCUGCCCUGCUUGCCGGCAUGAUCUUGGCCAGAAUUACAUCAU
rnacentral:sRNA from 1 species